CUGGCGGCAUGCCUUACACAUGCAAGUCGAACGCGAAAGUGGGGGCAACCCUGCGAGUAGAGUGGCGAACGGGUGAGUAAUACAUCGGAACGUACCCAGGAGUGGGGGACAACCUCGAGAAAUCGAGGCUAAUACCGCAUACGUCCUGAGGGAGAAAGCGGGGGAUUCGCAAGGACCUCGCGCUCAUGGAGCGGCCGAUGUCGGAUUAGCUAGUUGGCGGGGUAAGAGCCCACCAAGGCUACGAUCCGUAGCUGGUUUGAGAGAACGACCAGCCACACUGGGACUGAGACACGGCCCAGACUCCUACGGGAGGCAGCAGUGGGGAAUUUUGGACAAUGGGCGCAAGCCUGAUCCAGCCAUGCCGCGUGAGUGAAGAAGGCCUUCGGGUUGUAAAGCUCUUUCGGCCGGAACGAAAUCGCGCACGUGAAUAACGUGUGUGGAUGACGGUACUGGAAGAAGAAGCACCGGCUAACUACGUGCCAGCAGCCGCGGUAAUACGUAGGGUGCGAGCGUUAAUCGGAAUUACUGGGCGUAAAGCGUGCGCAGGCGGUUCUGCAAGUCAGAUGUGAAAUCCCCGGGCUUAACCUGGGAACUGCGUUUGAAACUACGGAGCUAGAGUGCGGCAGAGGGGGGUGGAAUUCCACGUGUAGCAGUAAAAUGCGUAGAUAUGUGGAGGAACACCGAUGGCGAAGGCAGCCCCCUGGGCCGACACUGACGCUCAGGCACGAAAGCGUGGGGAGC
rnacentral:rRNA from 1 species